rnacentral:misc_RNA from 1 species
AAAAGUCGUAACAAGGUUUCCGUAGGUGAACCUGCGGAAGGAUCAUUAUCGAGUUUUGAACGGGUUGUAGCUGGCCUCAUACUGUGGCAUGUGCACGCCUGUCUUCAUCCACUCUUCAACCUCUGUGCACUUAUUGUAGGCUGGUGAAGGGUCGCAUAGUAAUGUGCGGCUUGAAGCCUGGUCUACGUUUUACUACAAACGCUUCAGUUAUAGAAUGUCUAUCUGCGUAUAACGCAUUUAAUAUACAACUUUCAGCAACGGAUCUCUUGGCUC